AGAGUUUGAUCAUGGCUCAGGAUGAACGCUGGCGGCGUGCCUAACACAUGCAAGUCGGGCGAUCUUCUUCGGAAGAGAGCGGCGGACGGGUGAGUAACGCGUGGGUAACCUGCCUCAUACACAUGGAUAACAUACCGAAAGGUAUGCUAAUACAAGAUGAUAUAAGAGAUUCGCAUGGAUUUCUUAUCAAAGCUCCGGCGGUAUGAGAUGGACCCGCGUCUGAUUAGCUAGUUGGUAAGGUAACGGCUUACCAAGGCGACGAUCAGUAGCCGACCUGAGAGGGUGAUCGGCCACAUUGGAACUGAGACACGGUCCAAACUCCUACGGGAGGCAGCAGUGGGGAAUAUUGCACAAUGGGCGAAAGCCUGAUGCAGCAACGCCGCGUGAGCGAUGAAGGCCUUCGGGUCGUAAAGCUCUGUCCUCAAGGAAGAUAAUGACGGUACUUGAGGAGGAAGCCCCGGCUAACUACGUGCCAGCAGCCGCGGUAAUACGUAGGGGGCUAGCGUUAUCCGGAUUUACUGGGCGUAAAGGGUGCGUAGGUGGUUUCUUAAGUCAGGAGUGAAAGGCUACGGCUCAACCGUAGUAAGCUCUUGAAACUGGGAAACUUGAGUGCAGGAGAGGAAAGUGGAAUUCCUAGCGUAGCGGUGAAAUGCGUAGAUAUUAGGAGGAACACCAGUAGCGAAGGCGGCUUUCUGGACUGUAACUGACACUGAGGCACGAAAGCGUGGGGAGCAAACAGGAUUAGAUACCCUGGUAGUCCACGCCGUAAACGAUGAGUACUAGGUGUCGGGGGUUACCCCCCUCGGUGCCGCAGCUAACGCAUUAAGUACUCCGCCUGGGGAGU
rnacentral:rRNA from 1 species